rnacentral:rRNA from 1 species
UGCCUUACACAUGCAAGUCGAACGGUAACAGGCCGAAGGUGCUGACGAGUGGCGAACGGGUGAGUAAUGCAUCGGAACGUGCCCAGUAGUGGGGGAUAGCCCGGCGAAAGCCGGAUUAAUACCGCAUACGACCUGAGGGUGAAAGGGGGGGAUCGCAAGACCUCUCGCUAUUGGAGCGGCCGAUGUCAGAUCAGCUAGUUGGUGGGGUAAAGGCCUACCAAGGCAACGAUCUGUAGUUGGUCUGAGAGGACGACCAGCCACACUGGGACUGAGACACGGCCCAGACUCCUACGGGAGGCAGCAGUGGGGAAUUUUGGACAAUGGGCGCAAGCCUGAUCCAGCAAUGCCGCGUGCAGGAAGAAGGCCUUCGGGUUGUAAACUGCUUUUGUCAGGGAAGAAAUCUUCUGGGUUAAUACCUCGGGAGGAUGACGGUACCUGAAGAAUAAGCACCGGCUAACUACGUGCCAGCAGCCGCGGUAAUACGUAGGGUGCGAGCGUUAAUCGGAAUUACUGGGCGUAAAGCGUGCGCAGGCGGCUUUGCAAGACAGAGGUGAAAUCCCCGGGCUCAACCUGGGAACUGCCUUUGUGACUGCAAGGCUAGAGUACGGCAGA